rnacentral:rRNA from 1 species
UGGGGGAUAUUGCACAAUGGAGGAAACUCUGAUGCAGCGACGCCGCGUGAGGGAAGACGGUCUUCGGAUUGUAAACCUCUGUCUUUGGGGAAGAAAAUGACGGUACCCAAA